CGGGCGGUAGCAGGAGCAGCUUGCUCCUUGGGUGACGAGCGGCGGACGGGUGAGUGAAGUCUGGGGAUCUGCCUGAUCCAGGUUCAACCCUAAUGGAAACGGUAGCUAAUACCGCAUGACGUCUUCGGACCAAAGUGGGGGACCUUCGGGCCUCACGCCAUGAGAUGAACCCAGAUGGGAUUAGCUGGUAGGUGAGGUAACGGCUCACCUAGGCGACGAUCCCUAGCUGGUCUGAGAGGAUGACCAGCCACACUGGAACUGAGACACGGUCCAGACUCCUACGGGAGGCAGCAGUGGGGAAUAUUGCACAAUGGGGGAAACCCUGAUGCAGCCAUGCCGCGUGUGUGAAGAAGGCCUUCGGGUUGUAAAGCACUUUCAGCGGGGAGGAAGGCAAUAAACUUAAUAAGUUUGUUGAUUGACGUUACCCGCAGAAGAAGCACCGGCUAACUCCGUGCCAUCAGCCGCGGUAAUACGGAGGGUGCAAGCGUUAAUCGGAAUGACUGGGCGUAAAGCGCACGCAGGCGGUCUGUUAAGUUGGAUGUGAAAUCCCCGGGCUCAACCCGGGAACAGCAUUCAAAACUGACAGGCUAGAGUCUCGUAGAGGGGGGUAGAAUUCCAGGUGUAGCGCUGAAAUGCGUAGAGAUCUGGAGGAAUACCGGUGGCGAAGGCGGCCCCCUGGACGAAGACUGACGCUCAGGUGCGAAAGCGUGGGGAGCAAACAGGAUUAGAUACCCUGGUAGUCCACGCCGUAAACGAUGUCGACUUGGAGGCUGUGGUCUUGAACCGUGGCUUCCGGAGCUAACGCGUUAAGUCGACCGCCUGGGGAGUACGGCCGCAAGGUUAAAACUCAAAUGAAUUGACGGGGGCCCGCACAAGCGGUGGAGCAUGUGGUUUAAUUCGAUGCAACGCGAAGAACCUUACCUACUCUUGACAUCCAGAGAAGACUGUAGAGAUACGGUUGUGCCUUCGGGAGCUCUGAGACAGGUGCUGCAUGGCUGUCGUCAGCUCGUGUUGUGAAAUGUUGGGUUAAGUCCCGCAACGAGCGCAACCCUUAUCCUUUGUUGCCAGCGAUACGGUCGGGAACUCAAAGGAGACUGCCGGUGAUAAACCGGAGGAAGGUGGGGAUGACGUCAAGUCAUCAUGGCCCUUACGAGUAGGGCUACACACGUGCUACAAUGGCGCAUACAAAGAGAAGCGAGCCUGCGAGGGUGAGCGGACCUCAUAAAGUGCGUCGUAGUCCGGAUUGGAGUCUGCAACUCGACUCCAUGAAGUCGGAAUCGCUAGUAAUCGUAGAUCAGAAUGCUACGGUGAAUACGUUCCCGGGCCUUGUACACACCGCCCGUCACACCAUGGGAGUGGGUUGCAAAAGAAGUAGGUAGC
rnacentral:rRNA from 1 species